AAGAGCUGGCUGCCCACCCACAUUCACAGCUACAAUAAGUAGGCCUUCUACAAGCUUCCUUACCACAGUUCUUGUUUGGAGCAUUUAUCUCAGUUGGUCUAGUACAUCCUGCAGUCAUAUCACUCACGCUUGUUUCAGAUUGAAGAUUCCCUUCUCAGUACAGACAUCUAAUUCUCUAGAUCUGUCAGAGCCACAAUAUGAGAAGCUUCUGGCACUCUGAUGUCCUGUCAGUUUUUAAUGCGAACUCUGGAAGUUCACGGACACGACGCUGUACAAUCUGAAGAAGAUAAAUCACAGUUACUUCGAGCCAGCUGACAGCAGUUUAAGCUGCUGCAAUCAUCAACCACCAAGGGAGUUUCUUCUUUUAUCUUACUAAAUGCAAAAGUAUACUGGGAACUGGUAAUAUCACUGGACUAUCAGGAGCCCUGCUUUUACAUAAAUAUCAGCAAGCGGGAAGGACUCCCAGAUCUGGAACAACAUUACAGACAGGAAGAGGACUGGCUAACAGUUAUCAUAAUGGGUAAACAUUCCUGUCUCUGUCCAAGAAGUCUUCUGCAACUUCAGAGAAAUCAAAUCUUUAUUCUGUGAAAUGGUUAUAAAGUUACUGUUGCUUCAGAUUGGGCAGUUUCAGGUCUUUUUAGGCAUACAGUUAUUUUUUGAUCAUACAAUGUCUAUGAAUAAUACAGUCAGGCUCUGAUCUAGACAGUGAAUGACUUAUGCAAUUCACCAGGUAAAAAAGGAGUCGAGAAUCCCAAUAAAGUGGCACAAUAUAUAGAGAAAAUCUGUUUCUAUAAUUCUGGUCUUGCGUAUAUUAAGAGAACACAAUUCAAUUGCAGGAACUGGGAAAUAAGUCCCCUAAAACCGGAGUUUUCACAUGUAAAACCAAUGUUGACAAGACUAAAAAUAAAUAGAUAAAUUCAGCUUGAAUUUUCAGAUUUCUUGAAUCAACAAAGAGAACAUACAAGCUUUUCAAAUAAUAAAUAUUUCCAAAUGACCAGGUAAUAAAGAAAUACAUUGUUAUAAAAAACAGUCUGAGUGGAAACCAUAAUAUGACCUGGUAAGGCAAUUGUAGUUACGGCAGUCGUAGAUUAUUGCAUAAUGCAUUUCACAGAAGCUUCUUCUAUUGUGCCUCAUUGUAUUUUUUCCUUCAAUUAUUAAAUAUAGUGGCUUAACCUCAAAAGCAAAUGUACUUGUCUUUACAUGCACUUGAAUUGUUACUACCAUUUAAAACUAAUCAAUGUUUUCUUUAGUACCAUAAUAGCUUGUUUGCAAAGCACCUCUUUUAGAAAAAUUUACACUGCAUUCAGGAAAAAAACAUGUUUCACAUUCUAAGAAAAACUCCUAAUAAAGUGAAAGAGGGCUUGAUUCUUAUCUCAAAGUUUAGUGCAAUUAAAAUGCCUUCAAAGCUUAAAAAUUUUUGCACAAAAGAAGCUGCUACUAGAUUAUACCAGAGUGCUCAUAUGUAAUACAUUGUAUGCAUUGUAUAUUAUCCUUACUUCCUAGAGUAAUUUGAAAGGACUCGCUAUAUAUAUAUAUAAUAUAUAUAUACACACACACACCCCUAUAUUCCAGAGUAUGUGAUGCAUAUGACUAUUUUAGCCCUAUAUGCUUUCUUUAAUGUUAACAAGGGAAAAAAUGGUUAAAAUCUUAUUAGCAGAGUUUAAAUGCACCAUUCCUUGGAAAUAUUAUACAUCUUCUGACCUGAAUGUUCAAUUGCAAAAAAAUCACAGGACAUCAAGGUCUCAUUCAGUAGUGGAAAGCCCAAGCUACUCCAGUAAAUUCAAUAUAUGUACUCAGAGUACGGUUUGACACAAAUGGGAAUGUUCACACCACUUUGCUCUAGCAAUAUAAGGGAGGCUUCUAAAUUAGUCUCUGUGGACUCCUUCAGAAGGAGGUCAGAGAAACAAAGUUAAGCAAUAUGAGUACCCUGAAUGUCUCAAGUUCUGCAUUUAUUCAACAACCAGAAGUCUUACGGAAGGAAAAAACAAGUUUACAUAGAACUCAUGCAAGUUCUUAUCACCUUCAAGUGUAAUUACUAUUUCAAUAAACAGAAAUAUGUGAUGCUUGUACUUAUACAUAAUUCCAUUGAUCCCAGUAAGGUAGCGAGUCUAUCACUAGGAUGAAAGUUAUAAAAAAAAAGAAAAAGUUAAUGAGGAUUAUAAUAAUAGAACAUUAGUAAAAAUAAAAGCUAUUGCAAUGCCUAUGAUCACAUCUGAGAACCUGAUACAGUUUGUCCCAUUUUUCUUGUUUGGUUUCAUAGUGAUACCUCCCCUUUAUAGUUCUGCAAUAUAUGUUUCAUUGUGUUUGGAGCACAGAUUUUCCAUAACAGUUCUAUCAUAUGUGAUACCUUCUGCCUACACUUCCAAAGCUUCUACACCUACCUUGCUCUCAGCUGAAUGUUGGUAAUACUAAUAGUGAUAGUAGGUAAUUUGUUUUCCUAUAUUAUCCCUGAAAAAGAUGCAGUGUAGGACUAUUCCUUAAAACUUUGUAGGUUUGCAUACAUGUUCAUACUGUAUGGGGAGCCAAGUGCUUUAAUUAGCAUAACUGCAACAUAAACUGGGUAACUGCAUGUACGGGUAAGUACAAUUAGCAGUUGCAGAAGUUAAAGGACUGUCAGGUAAACAAAUGCCUAGCACGUAUCAAGCAGAGGAGCAUUCUCUAGGCAGAUCCUAGAGGCUCUGUGUAGCUCUGCGUUUUUCGCCCCCCCUACAUACAAUCUAUUUUUGAAAAUCUGACUCUAUUACAAAAGUAAUGACAAAUGAGUAAUGACAAAGUAAUGGAUAAAUUAAAAGUAAGAUGAAGACUUUGAAUCACAAGGACAAGAAAUUUUCACCUGAACGUACAGUUCAGGGACAGAAUUUCUGACUUAUGAAAAGUAUAGUGUUCAAAAAUAUGCAGUGUGUUUCAAAAUGAGAUAACAAACAACAAAUAGGCACAAAGGAAUUAGUCAAAAUAUCAAAAGUUUUAACUAAUAAAAUAUUCUGUGUUGAGGAAUAUAGAGUGCCAAGCCUUACCAAAAAUAAAUAGAGUUACAAUUCAAAGCACUGGACAGUGUGACUGCCCACAAACCUAUGCCGAAGCAUUUGCCACCAACUGCUGAAUAGACUGAAGUCUUGCUCCUUUGCUAAAUUAUAUGUUUCAGAAUUAAUCCUGUAGCCUGCAGCACACAGAUGCUUUAUAGGGCAACUUAGAGCAAUCACCUCAUUAUUUAAUAGCAUUGCUUUAACUCCAUUGUGAUAGCUUUCACUGUUGGAUAUUUUCUCUUACAGGCUCAUGUUUUAUCCUUUUCCAGGACUACACACCUGUUUUCAGAGAAUUACAAUGACUUUAGUUGGAGCAGUGUAUAACAAGCAGCAGCUAUGAGAAACUUUCUGUGCAAUUUCUCCUUAGAUGGGCAUAUACUAUAAGCAUGAAUUUCUUUUAACUAGUUAUUCCGAGAUCCCAGCUAAAAAGACAUGUAUAUGUUUUCAAUAUUAUUCACCAUCAAUUGCAUGCAGUACAAAAGGAA